AAACAAGUUGAUAUUUUUUUUUUUUAAAGGAAAUAAUUUCUCUGGACAAACGGCUCCAGUAUCAAACUUAAUAUGUUGUAAUUUUGAAAUGAUAAAAAUUGCAACAUAUUGUAUUCUUGUAUAAAAUAGUUUAUCUAUGUGGGAUGUAAUUAGUUGAAUUUAACCCUCGAAAAUCGACAAGGGAUUGAAGUGGUUGUGCCCUUGCUUUUUCAUCAGGAAGAAGUCUUCAUUUACUCUUUGUUUUUCAGUCGAAACACAUGGCUGAUCGACAGCAAACUCCAGAAUCACAGAUGCAAUCUCCUGCUUCAAGGGAUGACAUGAUUGCCUGUGUGAUGGCAUUAGAGGCUGCUUUGCUUCCCUGCUUGCCUGCAAGAGAGCUCCAGGCAAUUGACCGUUCAGCCCAUCCUUAUCAUCAGAUUGAUGUUGAGAGGCAUGCCAGAGAUUUCAUGGAAGCAGCAAAAAAGCUUCAACUUUAUUUGAUUGGGUUGCAACGCGAGGAUUUGCCUUCCAAGCCAGAUAUGCUUAGAAAGGAUAUUGCAAAAAUGGAGCAAGAGUUGAAAACAAAAACGGAGCUUAUAAGCAAGCAGGAGAGACUGAUCCAAGAAUGGAGGAAGGAGUUGAAGGACCAAUUAGACAAACACAACAUGGAGUUGGAAACGGUGUAAACUACUGCAGAUCUAUGUUGAUGUAAACAACUGUACAAAUUUUUCUUCUUUUGCGAGGUCCAGUUUUAUUAUUUUCUGUUGCUCACACAUCUCGUAGCAUUCUGUAUUUGAAGGUGGUAGAAGAUAACGAGCUCACUACAGAGAUGACUUGUUGCUACCUUCUUUUAAAUGAGAAUACUUGUCCCUGUACUGUUCUCAACAGCGAUGUGAAUUCCCGUGCAUCUGAUUUUGUGGAUGGAGAGAACUUUGUUGAGCUUUGUGUAUACUAUUAGAAGAGGGUGAGGGUAGGAUGAGAAUACUUGUCCCUGUACUGUUCUCAACAGCGAUGUGAAUUCCCGUGCAUCUAAUUUUGUGGAUGGAGAGAACUUUGUUGAGCUUUGUGUAUAAUAUUAGAAGAGGU